CAGCCGCCGCGGUAAUACAGAGGGUGCGAGCGUUAAUCGGAUUUACUGGGCGUAAAGCGUGCGUAGGCGGCUUUUUAAGUCGGAUGUGAAAUCCCUGAGCUUAACUUAGGAAUUGCAUUCGAUACUGGGAAUCUAGAGUAUGGGAGAGGAUGGUAGAAUUCCAGGUGUAGCGGUGAAAUGCGUAGAGAUCUGGAGGAAUACCGAUGGCGAAGGCAGCCAUCUGGCCUAAUACUGACGCUGAGGUACGAAAGCAUGGGGAGCAAACAGGAUUAGAUACCCCAGUAGUCCCUGUCUCUUAUAC
rnacentral:rRNA from 1 species